rnacentral:rRNA from 1 species
GAUGAACGCUAGCUACAGGCUUAACACAUGCAAGUCGAGGGGUAGCAGGGUAGCAAUACCGCUGACGACCGGCGCACGGGUGAGUAACACGUAUGCAACCUGCCUGUAAGAGGGGGAUAACCCGGAGAAAUUCGGACUAAUACCGCAUAAUACCACGAGACUGCAUGGUUUUGUGGUUAAACAUUUAUGGCUUACAGAUGGGCAUGCGUAUGAUUAGAUAGUUGGUAGGGUAACGGCCUACCAAGUCUACGAUCAUUAGGGGUUCUGAGAGGAAGGUCCCCCACACUGGUACUGAGACACGGACCAGACUCCUACGGGAGGCAGCAGUGAGGAAUAUUGGUCAAUGGGCGAGAGCCUGAACCAGCCAAGUCGCGUGAAGGAAGAAGGUUCUAUGGAUUGUAAACUUCUUUUGCAGGGGAAUAAAGGACGGUACGUGUACUGUUUUGUAUGUACCUUGCGAAUAAGGAUCGGCUAACUCCGUGCCAGCAGCCGCGGUAAUCUGU